rnacentral:rRNA from 1 species
CCAACAGGGAUUGCCUUAGUAGCGGCGAGUGAAGCGGCAAGAGCUCAAAUUUGAAAUCUGGUACCUUCGUGCCCGAGUUGUAAUUUGAAGAAGGUAUUCUUUAGUCUGGCCCCCGUCUAUGUUCCUUGGAAAAGGACGUCAUAGAGGGUGAGAAUCCCGUGCGAUGGGGUGUCCAUUCUUUGUAAGAUUCCUUCGACGAGUCGAGUUGUUUGGGAAUGCAGCUCUAAGUGGGUGGUAAAUUCCAUCUAAAGCUAAAUAUUGGCGAGAGACCGAUAGCGAACAAGUACAGUGAUGGAAAGAUGAAAAGAACUUUGAAAAGAGAGUGAAAAAGUACGUGAAAUUGUUGAAAGGGAAGGGUAUUUGAUCAGACUUGGUAUUAGAAUAUGGUUUCUCCUUGUGGGUUUCCCUCUAUUCUUUUACUGGGCCAGCAUCGGUUCGGAUGGUAAGAUAAUUGCGAUUGAAUGUGGCUCCUUGGAGUGUUAUAGCUUUCGUCGAUAUUACCUGUCUGGACCGAGGACUGCGUCUUUUGACUAGGAUGCUGGCGUAAUGAUUAAAUACCGCCCGU